rnacentral:rRNA from 1 species
CAGUCGCCGCGGGAAAACGAAGGGGGCUAGCGUUGCUCGGAAUUACUGGGCGUAAAGGGAGCGUAGGCGGACAUUUAAGUCAGGGGUGAAAUCCCAGAGCUCAACUCUGGAACUGCCUUUGAUACUGGGUGUCUUGAGUGUGAUAGAGGUAUGUGGAACUCCGAGUGUAGAGGUGAAAUUCGUAGAUAUUCGGAAGAACACCAGUGGCGAAGGCGACAUACUGGAUCAUUACUGGCGCUGAGGCUCGAAAGCGUGGGGAGCAAACAGGAUUAGAUACCCCCGUAGUCCCUGUCUCUUAUAC